AUUGAACGCUGGCGGCAUGCCUUACACAUGCAAGUCGAACGGCAGCGCGGACUUCGGUCUGGCGGCGAGUGGCGAACGGGUGAGUAAUACAUCGGAACGUACCCUGUUGUGGGGGAUAACUAGUCGAAAGAUUAGCUAAUACCGCAUACGACCUGAGGGUGAAAGUGGGGGACCGGAAGGCCUCACGCAGCAGGAGCGGACGAUGUCUGAUUAGCUAGGUGGUGGGGUAAAGGCCCACCAAGGCGACGAUCAGUAGCUGGUCUGAGAGGACGAUCAGCCACACUGGGACUGAGACACGGCCCAGACUCCUACGGGAGGCAGCAGUGGGGAAUUUUGGACAAUGGGGGCAACCCUGAUCCAGCAAUGCCGAGUGUGUGAAGAAGGCCUUCGGGUUGUAAAGCACUUUUGUCCGGAAAGAAAUCGCGCUGGUUAAUACCUGGCGUGGAUGACGGUACCGGAAGAAUAAGCACCGGCUAACUACGUGCCAGCCGCCGCCGUAA
rnacentral:rRNA from 1 species